AUUGAACGCUGGCGGCAGGCCUAACACAUGCAAGUCGAACGGUAACAGGAAGAAGCUUGCUUCUUUGCUGACGAGUGGCGGACGGGUGAGUAAUGUCUGGGAAACUGCCUGAUGGAGGGGGAUAACUACUGGAAACGGUAGCUAAUACCGCAUAACGUCGCAAGACCAAAAAGGGGGACCUUCGGGCCUCUUGCCAUCGGAUGUGCCCAGAUGGGAUUAGCUAGUAGGUGGGGUAACGGCUCACCUAGGCGACGAUCCAUAGCUGGUCUGAGAGGAUGACCAGCCACACUGGAACUGAGACACGGUCCAGACUCCUACGGGAGGCAGCAGUGGGGAAUAUUGCACAAUGGGCGCAAGCCUGAUGCAGCCAUGCCGCGUGUAUGAAGAAGGCCUUCGGGUUGUAAAGUACUUUCAGCGGGGAGGAAGGGAGUAAAGUUAAUACCUUUGCUCACUGACGUUACCCGCAGAAGAAGCACCGGCUAACUCCGUG
rnacentral:rRNA from 1 species